CGAUUUCUUCCAGCAAAAGGCAAUCAGUAAGAAGCAGUCUCACAUUUCCAGGGGGACCGUUUCAGCCUGCCUUCCCUGAAAACAUUGUUCAUGUGAAAGGACCCUUUUCAUUAAGAGAGUGUUUUUGAAACUGUCUCAGUUUGGGGUGUGUCUUACAGGUGGGGUGUGUCUUACAGGUGUUCUUUGAAAAGGAUUCUGCAGUCAAAUAAACUUGAGUGACCACAGGUCAUGACAACACCAGACAGGCCUCCUUACUGCAGGACUACCCAGAGUCCUUAACAUGAAAUGUGCACAGGAAGUAGCCUGGUACAUGCAGGGCCUUCCACUGAAGGCUUUUUUCCAAGAACUAGUCACACUAACAUGGGUCUAAGGAACAAAGCCGGGAACCACAGACUGAAGAAGCACCAGGCCACGUGCUGCCCUUGAAAGGAGAGCCGUAAGCAAGGUCAGUGACGCUUUGUCAGUGGACCCUCUGAGGACCAAGGAACUAGAUCGCCCUUCAUUUACUGGGGGCAGAUUGACGCUUAAAGAGGGCCUCCCCUUGGCCAGAGCAGAACAGUCAGAGAGCAAAUGAAAUUCAGUGGCUUAGAUGCUUAUUCUUUUCAAUCUACUCGGGCCAACCCUCUCGAGAGAUAAAACCUACCAGUCUAAAGAUUCAGGCCCACACUGCGAGGGCUUGGGUGGAGGAGACCAGAAGCUAUGGUCACGUUGUGAUAAAAUCUGCUGCACCGUCCUGGGACCCUGGCUGCCCGCAGUACCCACGGCACCGCCCAGUACUGCCAUUCGAACCACAUACGACGCUUAAAACUUUCUCGUA